rnacentral:rRNA from 1 species
CCUACGGGGGGCAGCAGUGGGGAAUAUUGCACAAUGGGGGAAACCCUGAUGCAGCGACGCCGCGUGAGCGAUGAAGUCUUUCGGUAUGUAAAGCUCUAUCAGCAGGGAAGAAAAUGACGGUACCUGACUACGACGCCCCGGCUAACUACGUGCCAGCAGCCGCGGUAAUACGUAGGGGGCAAGCGUUAUCCGGAUUUACUGGGUGUAAAGGGGGCGUAAACGGUCCUGCAAGCCAGAUGUGAAAGCCCGGGGCUCAACCCCGGGACUGCAUUUGGAACUGUAAGGCUAGAGUGUCGGAGAGGCAGGCGGAAUUCCUAGUGUAGCGGUGAAAUGCGUAGAUAUUAGGAGGAACACCAGUGGCGAAGGCGGCCUGCUGGACGAUGACUGACGUUGAGGCUCGAAAGCGUGGGGAGCAAACAGGAUUAGAUACCCUGGUAGUC